GUAGCUUAACGGAUUUGUUUUUUGUUUUGUUUUUCUACACCAUUCUGUGUCAGCUCUACAGUCUGUGCUGCAGAAUAUACUGUCCCAAGUAUAAAUAAUUAGUUUGAAUUCAACAGCCCAACUGGCCACCAACACUAACAACCAAGCUGUGGUCAAAGUCACUGAGAUCACAUUUUCUCCUGAUCUGAUCUAAUGCACUUCUGAUGCCAGCACAUGGUUUUGGAUAACUGCAUAGAUGAGUAGUUCAGGUUGAAAGGUCCACAAGGUGGCUGGUGCUGUUCAGGCAAUGCAAGCUAUCCAGGAACCGGAUAAGCAAAUCAGCUACAAACUAUAAUGCUUUAUGCACCAUGAAAGUGUCCUUUUUCUGAAUCGUCACAAAGAACAUCUAGGAGUGCUUCUGUAAGCAUGAUAAAGCAAUGAGUGUCUAUAUGAUGUUCUUCCAUUGAUACCUCUCUUGUUGUGUUUUUGUUUGUUUUUCUGAUCAUUUAUAGUGCAUACGUUCUCAAGAUUAUUUUUGCUGAUUUUUUUUUUUUACUGUUAAUCCUUUUUUUUUUUUUUUAAACUGCUUGAAAAUUCCAGCUUUAGUAACAGAAUUUUUAAAGGGUACUUCAAGUAACCUGAGUCAAACUGAUUUUAUAAGAAGUCCUUAGCACAGUAGAGUUUCCUCAUUAUAGCCUAGAGGAAUAUUCAGUUCAUUAUUAUUUUACAAAAAGGGUCAGUUAAUAUUUAGUUCAUUCAGUAUUUUACAAAAAGGCUCAAUUAAUAUGAUGCAUCAAACCUAUGAUAUCUAAAGGAUUAUGUCUUAACUGCAACAUACAGUCUAACACUAUGUUUAGAUCUAAUGUUAAUGAUUAUCAAAGUUUUAGUUGUUAUGACAUACAUUAACAGGACUGUUAUUAAUUGCUAUUUAAGACCAAGCAUGAGAUACUGAAAUCAUGCUCCUGUCUAUGUGAUAUAUCAGCAAUUCCUCAAUUUUACUUAAAUGUCUCUUGGCGGGUUGUAUUUCUCCAGGGCAUGUCGUAAGUAGUAGCAUAGUGAACUAUAAGAGGUUCAGUACUCAACACUCAGAUUUACCAUUAGUUAGUGGGAAGCGUGUCAUAAUAAACAACAUUUCUACAUCCAAAAUGAAGGUGGUAGUUGCAGUGUGGUGUCAUUAUUUUAGCAUGCAUGUUUGUUUUUUUUUAUGAUUUUUGGAGGUAUUCUGCAACUCAUUAUGGCUGAGAUGACUGACUGAAGCAAAUGUUUGAUGUGAUGGGGUUUCACAAGGGGGUUUACAGUUUUGUCACUAACUUUCUCAAGGGCUUACUUGACUGUUCUGUACAAAAACAGGAUGUAUGGCUAUAUGGAUGCUUGCAGUAGCAUGAAAAACUAAGCAUAUGCAAUCUUAAUAGCACUUCCUCAUAUUAAAUCAGAAUGCUGA